rnacentral:misc_RNA from 1 species
MUCAUUGGAUUGAGCCUUGGUAUGGAAACAUACGAAGUGACAACUUUCAAAUUCAGAGAAACCCUGGAAUUAAAGAUGGGGCAAUCCUGAGCCAAAUCCUGUUUUACGAAAACCGACAGCAGCGAGAAUACAAAAAGAAUAGGAUAGGUGCAGAGACUCGAUGGGAGAUGUUCUAACAAAUAGAGUUGGCCGCGUUGAGUUGGUAAAGGAAUCCUUCUAUCGAAACUCAAAAAAAGAAAAAAUAGGGGGGAACCCAUAUACAUAGAUAUAUGUACUGAACGCUAUACAAACUGGAUUAAUGACGCCGCGAGCUAUAUUGAUGAUUAUAUGCAAAAUGAAAGAAUUCUUGUGAUGUGAAUCGAUUGUACUAACUGGCAGAAAGUAUCGAAUCUUCAUUGAUUACAUCAUUUAUAAAUCAAUUUACUCCAGGAUCUGAGAAAUCUUUUGAAAAAAGGGAUUAAUCGGCCGAGAAUAAAGAUAGAGUCCCAUUCUACAUGUCAAUAGUGCAACAAUGAAAUUUAAAGUAAGAGGAAAAUCCGUCGACUUUAGAAAUCGUGAGGGUUCAAGUCCCUCUAUCCCCAAAAAAACAUUUGACUCGUUAAUGCUUUAUCCUAUUUUUUUUUCUUUUUUUUUAUAUUUGAUAUAAGGAUAUCAUCCUUAUUCGUUUUUUUCUUUCACAAAGUUAUGUACCCGAGUGUAUAUUUUUUUGUAUUAACCCAAGUUGGGUUUGGUGUUAUAUAAGGUACACACAAAGUAAGAUCAAUUCAUUUUUGAAUUGACAUAGGACGAAGUCAUAUCAUARAAUGAAGAUGAUAUAUUAACUAAAAUAAUAGUCGGGAUAGCUCAGCUGGUAG